rnacentral:rRNA from 1 species
GACGACGCUGGCGGCGUGGAUUAGGCAUGCAAGUCGAACGGUAUAAACCUUUCGGGGGUGAGAGAGUGGCGAACUGGUGAGUAACACGUAGGUUAUCUACCCUCAAGACGGGACAACCCAGGGAAACUUGGGCUAAUACCGGAUGUGAGCAACUUUUAGUUGUUUGAAAGGUGGCGUAAGCUGUCGCUUGGGGAUGAGCCUGCGUCCUAUUAGUUAGUUGGUGAGGUAACGGCUCACCUAGGCAAUGAUAGGUAGGCGGCCUUAACGGGUGGUCGCCCACACUGGGAUUGAGAUACGGCCCAGACUCCUACGGGAGGCAGCAGUCGAGAAUAGUCUACAAUGGUCGGAAGACUGAUAGUGCGACGCCGCGUGAACGAUGAAUCCCUUCGGGGUGUAAAGUUCUUUUAUAUGUGAGCAGUGCUUCUUAUAUUAACAGUAUGGGGAGAGAGAUAUUAGCAUAUGAAUAAGCAACGGCUAACUCCGUG